rnacentral:lncRNA from 1 species
AUCUUAUGAUUAUCAGUCAGUAUGUGAGCCCGGUGCUGCACCAAAACAAGGAGCAGGACAUCGCUCAGCAUAUGUGGUCAGUAAUAUCCACGGUCUAAUCAAUUCUCAAGGGGUACUCAAGUGUCCUCAGUAUCAAGUAGACUACUGAAAUGACCUUAUUAUUUUAUUUUAUAGCCAUCAGUAGCAGACAUAUUACAAAUUGGCUGGUGGGCCACUGCUGCUGCCUGGUCUAUUCUACAGCAGUUUCUCUUGAGUUUGACCUUUCCACGACUCCUUGAGGCAGUUGAGAUGGAGGAUGAUGACUUCACGGCCUCCCUGUCCAAGCAGAGCUGCAUUACUGAACAAACCCAGUAUUUCUUCGAUAACGACAGUAAAUCAUUCAGUGGUGUAUUAGACUGUGGAAACUGUUCCAG